GCCGUUGCCCCGAACGUAACGGCCUACACCCUACCCCGCACUCUCUCACUCUCUCUCUCUCUCUCUCUCUCUCUCACUCUCUCCCUACCCCUCUCUCACACGCAGACAUACACACACGCCCUCCCGAGGAGAACGCGCAGGCGCCGCCUUCGCUCUGCCCCCUGGGAAUUAGAGUCUACCAGCUUGUGCGUCUGACCUCGGGAUAAUGAAGGCUUGGGCCGGGUCAGGACUACGAGUGCCGUGAGGCAGUGCGGCUCAGGGCCCCAGCGAAGGAAGAAGAGGAAGGGGAAAGUAAAGAACUAUAGAAUUGCGGGGGAAAAACAAGAUGGUUCGCUUUGCCUACCGGGAGUUGUAGUCUCGAGCCGCUCCCUGGCCCGCCUGAAGGCGCAACCUUGAGCCAGCGAGGGACCACAUUUCCUAGGUUGCCCUACGGUGGUACCUGUUGCACUUCCCCACCGCUUCGCAGGAUUGGGAGAAGGAAGGGUGCCGCUCACAACAUAAAGGUCAAGAGAGCUGAGUCAUCUGGGACCAGGGAAGGCGUGGGCUGCCAGGGGAAGGGGGGCAGCCCGGGCCACCACCUGCUCCUGGGAAGAGAAUCCGACUGACUACAAUCAGCCAGUCAGGCCUCUCUCUCCAGGUUCACUUGCAAUUCUGAUUUUUCUGAGAUCCUGUGACAGGCAGCCACGUUGGAUCACCAGAAGAAUAUUGCCUGCAAGAAGAGGCAGUUGCUAAAGCUUGCGCCACCACCCAGGUUAACAAUUCAGCUGCUGCUAGAAAAGAAUGACCAGAGACUACUGAGCCUAGUGACCAGGCUAGGUGGGAUGAUCCUUGCUGACCAAAGACAGAGUGUGUUGCUCCCACCAUUCAAGAGAAGCCAGUUGCUUUUAAUUGUAUCAUUCCUCAGGAGUUGUGUUUUCUUCUCUGCAAGUGAAAGGAAUUAACACAGAAAAAUAUCUGGUUUAAAUGGCAACUGGUUGAAUCCAGUCAGCAGGUGAUGGAAAUUGACAACCAACAGAGUCUGGAAAAAUGUCCAGAAUCCAUUGUGGAGGCAAGCACCCCAAGAACAUCCAAAACAGGUGCUGCUAUCUGCAACUACCUUCUAAGUCAGCGCAAGUACCUGUACUCAACAACCCUAAGUAAUUUCAAUCAAGACUUCUGAAAAGGGACCUCUUCUUGAAGAGAAUCUGGGACUCUUAGUCUUCUCUCCUGAAACUGGAAGUCAGGAUACCAAGAUGUCUCUUCUCCCUCAAGCUGUCAACAACCCUGGCAGUAAAUUAGUCUCCACCAACGAAUAAAGUUUUAUGCAAGCGUUAUACAUAUUAUUAUUCCACUUUUUGAUAUAUAGGAUGAUAGAUUUAGAGCUGUAAACUGAGUUUCAAAGAUGUUGAAUGACUUGCACAUGUGGUGAGUGGCAGAGCAGGGAUUUGAAAACAAGUCUAGAACAAUUUCCUCUGGACGAGGGUCCCAAAGCAAUGAAGGACCCAACUUUGGACCCACACAUAGCCAACACACAUAGACAUUUCACGUAAACUUCUGACUGCUUAUCACAGAAUUCUGGAAGCCAGGAUACUCAGAACCAAUAUAGAGGGAAACCUGAAAGAAAAACAGAUGAGUCACCAAGUCACAGAAGAGUCUCUGAAAGCUCCUUGGAGCUCUCGUCUCUUCACUCCCACACAUUCACAUGCUACAUAGUGAAUGUUGACACAAAUUGGUUGGUUUGACAUCUGUAUGCUAGUGGUAUAUAUUCCUCUCCAGGAUGCUCUCCUGAUUCUCCCAGACUUUUUCCAUGAGGCCCCUACACUGGGUGCCUCCAUCUUUUUCCCUCUCCCCCUUUUCCCCUACUGCUUUUCAGCUCCAC